UUAUCCAUUCCCAAUUGAUUUUCCACUGUAUCAAGGUAUAUUUAAGUUGUUUCCAAUAUUUUCCCUAUUAAAAUGCUGCAAAAACCCAUUCCUGUCCACAUCUCCUCGUGCAGCAUGCCUGGAACUUCUCCGGGGUGCGUCCCCAGCGCGGAGCUGGUGGUGGUCUGACUUCACGAGGUGUUGCCGGGCCGCUGCUCCGUGUGGCCGUGCCGGUGGAUGCUCCUGUCCUCUGACACUCAGGGGCGGGGGUCUCCCUGCCCCAUGCUCCAGCCCUCACGGGGUGUUUCCAGACUUCAGAUGUUUGCUCAUGUGGAAUUACGUUUUGCUUCAUUUUUCAUUUUCCUGAUUACUAGUGAUGUGAUAUAUAUAUUUUCCCGACAAUUUAGAUUCCCUCUUCUGGGCGUUGUCUGUUGAUAUCUUUGCCUAUUUUUAUUUUCCCUCUUGACUUUUUCUUAUUUGCUCGUGGGAGAUAUUUAUAUAUAAUGCAUACUAAGCCUUUCUUGGCAAUCUGUAUCGUAAGUAUCUUCACUCAGUGUGAUUUUCCAAUAGAGGACAAACCAAGCAGUUUGUGGAAAAAAGAUUUUUUGCCUCAUCAGGAGACUUGGGCGUUUGUUCUGGUUUGGCUACCAACUUGCUAUUUGGCCUUGGGCGGGUCAUGUAAUUUUCCUGGACCUUGGCUUCCUUACCUCUAAAGUGGUAUAAUUUGAUCCCAGAACCUCAGAUCUCUUCUAGAUACACAGUCAUAUCAGAGUUAAACAAAAUUAAAUGGAGGGAAAGCUCUUUCCAAAUUAAGGGGAAAGUCUGCAUGCUGGAAUAUUUGAAAACAGAUUAAAUUUUUGCUGGUUUAAGAACAUAGAUAACUGGGAUUAUGUGGAUAAAGUUGGCUAACAGGGACUUCCCUGGUGGUGCAGUGGUUAAGAAUCCACCUGCCAAUGCAGGGGACAUGGGUUCGAGCCCUGGCCCGGGAAGAUCCCACAUGCUGAGGAGCAACUAAGCCCGUGUGCCGCAACUACUGAGCGUGUGCUCUAGAGCCUGUGAUCCACAACUACAGAGCCCGCGUGCCACAACUACUGAGCCUACGCUCUAGAUCCUUCGUGCCACAGCUACUGAAGCCUGCGUGCCUAGAGCCUUUGCUCCAUAACAAGAGAAGCCACCGCAAUGAGAAGCCUGCGCACCGCAAUGAAGAGCAGCUACCGCUCGCCGCAACUAGAGAAAGCCCGUGCGCAUCAACGAAGACCCAAUGCAGCCAAAAAAAAAAAAAAAAAAAAGUUGGCUAACAUUUGGAUAACACUUCAGUUUUCAAGAGUACUUCCGCAUACUUGAUUUAUUUCUCAUAAACUUGACUUGCAGGAUCUUGUUUUUGUCGUCAAAUAUGCCAUCACGCUUCAGGUGCCGGGCCAGGCAGCGUGUCUGUCCGCUCUGCCACGGGACUCCCAGUGCCUUGAAUCGGGCUGCGCGUGGAAGACUCGGGCGAAGACACAUGUAGCUGAUAAUCAGUAUUAUUAUUAUUGAUCACCUUGAGCUCACUAUUGGACCGUGACCUCUCCAUCCCGGGGGCUCUGCGGAAGAGGAGGAAAGAUGCCUCGCAGAUCGGCUUCUCUGGGUAGAGCAGCAGACACGGCCACUGGACCCCUCUGUGACUGUAGUUUCAGAGCUGGACACAUGGCUUCCCAGGUUUCAGCACCAGAAUUUGAACCCAUGAAAGGUUUCCUGAUGCCGACCAAGACUUGCACCAAACUUGGCUGUCUGAACCUUCCGGGAGCUUGUUAAAAUAGAGAAAUGCCUUUCUCCUUCGCAUCUUUCUCCGCUAGACUGGCUUGGAUCUCAUCUUCACUCGUUUCAACUCCCCACGGCUCUGUCGGGUUCUGACCACGUGAGACACGGACACCACACGAGAUCAUCAUCAAACGAGGGACAGCCACGGCUUUACAAGAAAGCUGCCAGUGCGGAUUUGCUUGUGUUUUAGGCCCAGAGUCAUCUGAUUUUCACGAGACGGUAACGCCGCGAAGCUGUUCCAGGUUCAGAACCCUAACAUUUUGGAAAACAAACUGUAUUCAAUGGCUGGAAAAGUCUGGGUCUUCCCAGAUGAAAGGAAUGGAGAACCUUCAUUGUUCAAGUCAAUAACUCCUUAGCUUGGUCUCGGGAAAGGAUGUGCAUUUCUCUCCAAACUCUGGAAAGCCCUUGAGGAACUUCUGAAAAGCAACAGAUGUGCAUGAAUCCCUUCAAUUCUGGAGGACGGGCACGCCGGGUUUACAGCUCAAGGUUCAGAUCUUGGUGAAGAUCCACCAGGUGAAAUUUCGUUUUCCUGGACUGAAUGGUGAACCUCCUGAAAGUCUAAACAAGGGCCUCUCGAGCUGUCACAUGUGGUCGCUCCUGAACCCGUGCCCAUGGUGCUAAGUCAUAAGGACACAGCUGGCAGAUCCAAGGACCCCGUGACAUCCGUACUUGCAGCUGACAAUUUUCAGGAACUUGAGUUUUAAGGCUAAUAACAAAUAGGUUGAAACCCGGCUUCGCAAAGAUACAACACGUUGAAAGAAAUGUGGUGUGAUUUCACGAUGAAACUGUGAACUCCCCCUCGGACUUGCGGUUUGUGCAGCAUCCAAACAGAAAUCAGCAAAAGAUUCUGAUACACGUUGGAUGUGACUGAAAAGAAGCUGCCAAAAUUGUGCUCCAAGAAGAACAAGGCUUUGUACUUCAUCAGAGAAUCUGGUGGCUUUCAUGAGCCAGAGAACAACAGGGCUUAUGAAGUAGUUUCACGAAGGUAAGUCAUGCCCAGACUCAGGAUCAGGAGCUGGGGAAGAGCAGGUGUUCGGGACAU